GACGAACGCUGGCGGCGUGCUUAACACAUGCAAGUCGAACGGAAAGGCCCUGCUUUUGUGGGGUGCUCGAGUGGCGAACGGGUGAGUAACACGUGAGUAACCUGCCCUUGACUGUGGGAUAACUUCAGGAAACUGGGGCUAAUACCGGAUAGGAGCUCCUGCUGCAUGGUGGGGGUUGGAAAGUUUCGGCGGUUGGGGAUGGACUCGCGGCUUAUCAGCUUGUUGGUGAGGUAGUGGCUUACCAAGGCUUUGACGGGUAGCCGGCCUGAGAGGGUGACCGGCCACAUUGGGACUGAGAUACGGCGCAGAAUCCUACGGUAGGCAGCAGUGGGGAAUAUUGCACAGUGGGCGGAAGCCUGAUGCAGCAACGCCGCGUGCGGGAUGACGGCUUUCGGGUUGUAAACCGAUUUCGACUGUGACGAAGCGUGAGUGACGGUAAUGGGUAAAGAAGCACCGGCUAACUACGUG
rnacentral:rRNA from 1 species